GACGAACGCUGGCGGCGCGCCUAACACAUGCAAGUCGAGCGAUGAACUUAAAUGGAAUUCUUCGGAAUGAAGUAUAAGGGAUUAGCGGCGGACGGGUGAGUAACACGUGAGUAACCUACCAUACACAUGGGGAUAGCCUCGGGAAACUGGGAUUAAUACCCAAUGAGAUCUAAACUUCGCAUGAAGAUUAGAUUAAAGUGCUUAGCGGUGUAUGAUGGACUCGCGGCCCAUUAGCUAGUUGGUGAGAUAACAGCUCACCAAGGCGACGAUGGGUAGCCGGCCUGAGAGGGUGAUCGGCCACAUUGGAACUGAGACACGGUCCAAACUCCUACGGGAGGCAGCAGUGGGGAAUAUUGCACAAUGGGGGAAACCCUGAUGCAGCGACGCCGCGUGAGCGAUGAAGGCUUUCGAGUCGUAAAGCUCUGUCCUAUGGGAAGAUAAUGACGGUACCAUAGGAGGAAGCUCCGGCUAACUACGUGCCAGCAGCCGCCGUAAAAC
rnacentral:rRNA from 1 species